AGGAAGGUGGGGAUGACGUCAAGUCAUCAUGGCCCUUACGACCAGGGCUACACACGUGCUACAAUGGCAUAUACAAAGAGAAGCGACCUCGCGAGAGCAAGCGGACCUCAUAAAGUAUGUCGUAGUCCGGAUUGGAGUCUGCAACUCGACUCCAUGAAGUCGGAAUCGCUAGUAAUCGUAGAUCAGAAUGCUACGGUGAAUACGUUCCCGGGCCUUGUACACACCGCCCGUCACACCAUGGGAGUGGGUUGCAAAAGAAGUAGGUAGCUUAACCUUCGGGAGGGCGCUUACCACUUUGUGAUUCAUGACUGGGGUGAAGUCGUAACAAGGUAACCGUAGGGGAACCUGCGGUUGGAUCACCUCCUUA
rnacentral:rRNA from 1 species